CGAUGAGGGGAUCCCAAGUGCUGGCACGUAAGUGUCAGCUGUUUCUUAGUCUAAAAAACUGAGAGAGUAAGAGCUGGGUAAGACGGGUGCCAGCCGCCGCGGUAAUACCUGCAGCUCAAGUGGUGGCCGCUAUUAUUGGGCCUAAAACGUCCGUAGCCGGUUUAGUAAAUGCCUGGGUAAAUUGUGUAGCUUAACUAUACGAAUUCCGGGUAGACUGCUAAACUUGGGACCGGGAGAGGCUAGAGGUACUCCUGGGGUAGAGGUGAAAUUCUGUAAUCCUAGGGGGACCACCAGUGGCGAAGGCGUCUAGCUAGAACGGGUCUGACGGUGAGGGACGAAGCCCUGGGGCGCAAACCGGAUUAGAUACCCGGGUAGUCCAGGGUGUAAACGCUGCUUGCUUGAUGUUAGUUGGGCUCCGAGCCCAACUAGUGUCGGAGAGAAGUUGUUAAGCAAGCUGCCUGGAAGUACGGUCGCAAGACUGAAA
rnacentral:rRNA from 1 species